UACGUAGGGUGCAAGCGUUAAUCGGAAUUACUGGGCGUAAAGCGUGCGCAGGCGGUUGUGCAAGACAGAUGUGAAAUCCCCGGGCUCAACCUGGGAAUUGCAUUUGUGACUGCACGGCUAGAGUGUGUCAGAGGGGGGUAGAAUUCCACGUGUAGCAGUGAAAUGCGUAGAGAUGUGGAGGAAUACCGAUGGCGAAGGCAGCCCCCCUGGGCCAAUACUGACGCUCAUGCACGAAAGCGUGGGGAGCAAACAGG
rnacentral:rRNA from 1 species